rnacentral:rRNA from 1 species
UACGUAGGUGGCAAGCGUUGUCCGGAUUUACUGGGCGUAAAGAGCGCGCAGGCGGUCGUUCAAGUCGCGUGUGAAAGCCCCCGGCUCAACUGGGGAGGGUCACGCGAUACUGAUCGACUCGAAGGCAGGAGAGGGAAGCGGAAUUCCCGGUGUAGUGGUGAAAUGCGUAGAUAUCGGGAGGAACACCAGUGGCGAAGGCGGCUACCUGGCCCACUCUUGACGCUGAGGCGCGAAAGCUAGGGGAGCAAACGGG